rnacentral:rRNA from 1 species
UUCCGGUUGAUCCUGCCGGAGGCUACUGCUAUUGGAGUCCGAUUAAGCCAUGCUAGUCUUCGAGGCUUUGCCUCGAGGCGGAUAGCUGAGUAACACGUGGUCAAUCUACCCUACGGAGAGAGAUAACCUCGGGAAACUGAGGAUAAUAUCUCAUAGGUCUGGAUACCAGAAAAGGAUCCAGAUUGAAAUGCAUUAUGCGCCGUAGGAUGAGACUGCGGCUGAUUAGGUCGUUGGUGAGGUAACGGCUCACCAAGCCGAUAAUCAGUAGCGGGCGUGAGAGCGCGAGCCGUCAGACGGGUUCUGAGACAAGAACCCGGGUCCUACGGGACGCAGCAGGCGCGAAACCUUCACAAUGCGCGAAAGCGUGAUGGGGGAACUCCAAGUGCUCGUUUCGAAAAAAGAAGCGAGCUUUUCUUGAGUGUAAGGAGCUCAAGAUAACAAGGGGUGGGCAAGACGGCUGCCAGCCGCCGCGGUAAUAGCCGCACCCCAAGUGGUGGCCA